UAGGUAGGUCCCGAGCGUUGUCCGGAUUUAUUGGGCGUAAAGCGAGCGCAGGUGGUUUAAUAAGUCUGAUGUAAAAGGCAGUGGCUCAACCAUUGUGUGCAUUGGAAACUGUUAGACUUGAGUGCAGUAGAGGAGAGUGGAAUUCCAUGUGUAGCGGUGAAAUGCGUAGAUAUAUGGAGGAACACCGGUGGCGAAAGCGGCUCUCUGGACUGUAACUGACACUGAGGCUCGAAAGCGUGGGUAGCAAACAGG
rnacentral:rRNA from 1 species